rnacentral:miRNA from 1 species
CGACGGUGUUGACGGAGGUCGAG